rnacentral:snRNA from 1 species
GGAAGAUAUAACACAUAUU